rnacentral:lncRNA from 1 species
CCUCUUCCCAGGGAGCCUCAGCAGACUAGCUGGGGUAACAGCAGCCCACCCUGCAGCUGGCCUCAGAAGUGAGACGCUGGUUUCUCCCUGGGGACGCUGUUCUCCACCCUGGUGCCUCAGCCUGCUGGGUGACCCGCACUGUGUCCCCAACAGGCCAGAGCCCCUGGCCACCAUUGCUUUCUCAGUCUGCCACUGUUACCUCUGUCCACAUACCAGCCCGUGUGGGAAGGGGAGUGCUCAGAGGUGACAGCUGUGUCAUCUAUGCCCUAAGGACUGUCACUUCCAAUUGAUGGGCCAGGCUUCUGCUAGUCUGCCAUUUGCUUUUUAGCUUGGGGGUCUCUUGGGCCGAAGAACCUGAUGGCGCCUGGGGGUGGUCAUCAGCAAGAGGGGCAGGGACUCUGCCUCGUCCCUAGUGAUAGCAUUUCUCUCUGGGGACCUGGACUUGUGGACUCACUUGGCUUGGAGCUGGAAGACAGGGAAGGAAGUCUGUCUCUGGGGUCCCCUUUUCCCCACCUCUGGCUCCCAGACCCACUUUCUCCCCACUGUGAACACGGCCCUUUCUGGGUCCCUGCUCAGGGGGUGUCAGUGCUGGAGGGGGGCUGCCCACUUGGCCUUUCCCACCUUGGCCUGGGGAGCCUCCCGACACCGCCUCCCGUGGCUCUGCUGAGACUCUCUUCCCUGUCUUCCUGUUUAUUAGAUGCUCGAAACACUCGACCAAAGUGCCUGAGCCAAGUUUCUACUUUUUCUCACUAUUAAAAAAAGGGUCUUUCCAACGACAGCCCCUUGCUUGAUGAGCCGCGGCCCGUCUCUGUCCGGGUCUGUGGAGACCUGGCUCGGCCUCGGCUCCUCAUGCCUCCCUUCCCUCCUCUGCCUGCUCUCUCACUCCUGAGGCCCAAGUGCUCCUUUGCCCACCCCCUUGGGCCCAGUGCUGCUCCUGCCUCCCCAGGACUCUGCCUUGUCCCCUUCCUGAUGUCCUGGACACCUGUGGCUUCGUGUCUGCUCUACUCACAACUCUGAGUGACCUCAGGCAAGACCCUGUCCCCCUGAGUUUGGCUCCCUCUAUAAUACAGAGAGGAUUUGAUUCAGUGACGAUCCUCACCAGUGACAGCGGUGACCACAGGGCUGUGUUGAGAAGGGUUCUGAGGCUCAUCUGGGCUCCGUAGCAGGAAGAGCUCCGGGGGAGGAAGAAGGGAAGGGGGCGGGGUCAGUGCCUGCCAUUCGCUCUCCUCGGACUAAACGGGGCUCAGUCAGUAGCACCCCUGGGCAUUCCCAUGCUCUUCCCUCCUGCUUCCUCUUGGGGAGACAGGAGACCACCUUUGUUUGAGAGUCAAAAAAACCGAGACUCUAAAGCAAGCUUCCCAGGGCAUGCAGCCUGCAGGUGACUGAGCUGGCUGCCAGGCUGGGGUGCAGAGGAAUGGGGUGGUCCCUGGUGGGGGCCGCCGUCGACCUGCAGGAGCAGAAGGCCCAGCCACAGAGGCUUUGGUGCUGGUGCCUGACCCUCCCACUCCUAGUGGAGACUGGACUGUCCUGCAGAAGGCCCGCAGCAAG